UUUCCGCCCCUUAGUGCUGCAGCUAACGCAUUAAGCACUCCGCNUGGGGAGUACGGUCGCAAGACUGAAACUCAAAGGAAUUGACGGGGGCCCGCACAAGCGNUGGAGCAUGUGGUUUAAUUCGAAGCAACGCGAAGAACCUUACCAGGUCUUGACAUCCCGCUGACCGCCCAUGGAGACAUGGCUUUCCCUUNCGGGGACAGCGGUGACAGGUGGUGCAUGGUUGUCGUCAGCUCGUGUCGUGAGAUGUUGGGUUAAGUCCCGCAACGAGCGCAACCCUUGUCCUUAGUUGCCAUCAUUCAGUUGGGCACUCUAAGGAGACUGCCGUAAUAAAACGGAGGAAGGUGGGGAUGACGUCAAAUCAUCAUGCCCCUUAUGACCUGGGCUACACACGUGCUACAAUGGACGGUACAAACGGUCGCGAAGUCGCGAGACGGAGCCAAUCCGAGAAAACCGUUCUCAGUUCGGAUUACAGGCUGCAACUCGCCUGCAUGAAGCCGGAAUCGCUAGUAAUCGCGGAUCAGCAUGCCGCGGUGAAUACGUUCCCGGGCCUUGUACACACCGCCCGUCACACCACGAGAGUUUGUAACACCCGAAGUCGGUGAGGUAACCCUUUGGGGCCAGCCGCCGAAGGUGGGACAGAUGAUUGGGGUGAAGUCGUAACCAAGGUACC
rnacentral:rRNA from 1 species